CGGGAUGACCAAAGGGCCAGUCCUGUGACUACUACAGCUCUGGAAUAUGGGACUGACUUUCCCACCAACGUCAGCAAGCCACUGUCAGUCUGCCUGUCUUCAUUUUCUUUCACUCAGAUUGACCAAGCUUCUUGAGAGAAGGAACACAAAAGAGGUUUCCAGGCUGUGUGCCUGGACCAGGCACUUUCUCUUGAGCCUCCCACCUGAAGGCCUCGCAAAAGCAGACAGAUGCCUGCAGGUCUGUCUGUCUGUCUGAUAGAGAGUCAUCUACUGACUAAAAGGGUAACUGUUGCAUUUUCAAAUGACAUUGCAAAUUGUGGAAAUCCGCCUGGUAUGAAGUCAGAUGACUAACGCAAGAAGAACAUUUUAUUUUGUGGUAACUGGUGAGCUGAAACGGAACACAAAUUGUACAAGGAAGAUGAAAAAAAUAUUCCUAAUAUCCUCCAGUCUCUGACCUUAGAUGGCAGGAGGUAGAUGGGUCUCUUCCUCCCCCCUCUCCCCCAAGGCUGGCUAAUUCAGCAUGAAAUACUAAGAGACAAGAAUUUAUUGUUCAAUUUGCAGCCUGGUGAUUGAAGAGCAACUGUAUUCAUUUCAGGAGCAAGCUCUAAUUUUAGAGCACAGCUGAAUGUGCUGAUGAGAACAGGCAAGCACUGGAGAACUAAAAUGUACCAUUCUGGAAAGCAAAUUGAGCUUUAGCAUCUUCAUCUCCAUCUGGAGCUGUAAAAAAGACCAGGCCUUUCCUGAUUCUCUAUCCUAGCUAAAUUUGUUGUAAUGAUUGUGAAAAUAUUCUGGGUUGCGGAAGUUAGACAAUGAGGCACUUGAAUGUCCUCUUAUAGAAUGCAGUUUUGCCCCGACAGUAAUUUGAAAAAAAAAAAGGGAAGUAGGUUUAUACCGCCCUUCUCUGUAAGUUGCCCUCCAGGAAAUUAGUUUUUUCAGAGGAAAACUCAGGGCCGUAACAGUCUACUGCCUGAGAUCAAGUUAUUUCCAAACACACACACAUACAUUUGCAAGUAUGUCUUCAAGUCUAUUGUUUCUCAACUUUGCAACUUUAAAAUGUGUGAACUUCAAUUCCCAGAAUUCAUCAGCAUGCAAAAUUCUAGGAGUUGAAGUCCACACAUCUUAAACUUGUCAACGUUAAGAAGCACUGUUCAGAGACUGAAUUGGCUCUCUAAAAGGCAGCAGGAACACUUAGUGAAUUCAAGGCAAAAUGAUAGCCACAGCUCCGUCAUCCAAUGGUAAUCACAUGACCCUAAGAUGCUGCAAUUUGUGUAAAUACAGGCUGGUUGCCUGAAUUUUGAUCAGAAGACUAUGGGGAUGCUACAAUGGUUGUAAGUGUGGGACCAAAUGUAAGUCACUUUUUUCAGUGCCAUCGUAAUUUCAAACAAUUGCUAAAAGAAUGAUUGAGGAUUACCUGUAGUGCUAAAUGAAUAAUUACAUCAGGACUGGUCUCAGCUGCCUUGAAAGAGGUGAAGAUAUAACUCCUAGUGGAUAUCCCUGGACGAGAUACUUCACAUCUAUUUUCUAUCAUAAAUAUCCUUUUCUUGGGCAAAGUCCUUGAAAAAGUGAUGCAAGUUUAUCAGCAUUACAUUUUUGGGAGGAUAUGGAUUAUCUGGACUCAUUCAAAGCAGUUUACAGGCUUGGUUUUGGCACCAAUACUUUACCUUACCCUGCCAGAUGACAAUUUCCCUCAGUGUACUAUUGAUGUUGAUGGCCCAUAGUGUAUUCUAUAGUAAAAGCAUGUUUUAACUUGUU